CCUACGGGCGGCUGCAGUGAGGAAUAUUGGUCAAUGGACGAGAGUCUGAACCAGCCAAGUAGCGUGAAGGAUGACUGCCCUAUGGGUUGUAAACUUCUUUUAUAUGGGAAUAAAAUGUUCCACGUGUGGGCUUUUGUAUGUACCAUAUGAAUAAGGAUCGGCUAACGCCGUGCCAGCAGCCGCGGUAAUACGGAGGAUCCGAGCGUUAUUCGGAUUUAUUGGGUUUAAAGGGAGCGUAGGUGGGUUGUUAAGUCAGUUGUGAAAGUUUGCGGCUCAACCGUAAAAUUGCAGUUGAAACUGGCAGUCUUGAGUACAGUAGAGGUGGGCGGAAUGCGUGGUGUAGCGGUGAAAUGCUUAGAUAUCGCGAAGAACUCCGAUUGCGAAGGCAGCUCACUGGACUGCAACUGACACUGAGGCUCGAAAGUGUGGGUAUCAAACAGGAUUAGAUACCCGAGUAGUC
rnacentral:rRNA from 1 species